GAUGAACGCUGGCGGCGUGUCUAAUACAUGCAAGUCGAGCGAACAGACGAGGAGCUUGCUCCUCUGACGUUAGCGGCGGACGGGUGAGUAACACGUGGAUAACCUACCUAUAAGACUGGGAUAACUUCGGGAAGCCGGAGCUAAUACCGGAUAAUAUAUUGAACCGCAUGGUUCAAUAGUGAAAGACGGUUUUGCUGUCACUUAUAGAUGGAUCCGCGCCGCAUUAGCUAGUUGGUAAGGUAACGGCUUACCAAGGCAACGAUGCGUAGCCGACCUGAGAGGGUGAUCGGCCACACUGGAACUGAGACACGGUCCAGACUCCUACGGGAGGCAGCAGUAGGGAAUCUUCCGCAAAGGGCGAAAGCCUGACGGAGCAACGCCGCGUGAGUGAUGAAGGUCUUCGGAUCGUAAAACUCUGUUAUUAGGGAAGAACAAAUGUGUAAGUAACUAUGCACGUCUUGACGGUACCUAAUCAGAAAGCCACGGCUAACUACGUG
rnacentral:rRNA from 1 species